GACGAACGCUGGCGGCGUGCUUAACACAUGCAAGUCGAACGAAGAGCGACGGAAGCUUGCUUCUAUCAAUCUUAGUGGCGAACGGGUGAGUAACGCGUAAUCAACCUGCCCUUCAGAGGGGGACAACAGUUGGAAACGACUGCUAAUACCGCAUACGAUCUAAUCUCGGCAUCGAGGAUGGAUGAAAGGUGGCCUCUACAUGUAAGCUAUCACUGAAGGAGGGGAUUGCGUCUGAUUAGCUAGUUGGAGGGGUAACGGCCCACCAAGGCGAUGAUCAGUAGCCGGUCUGAGAGGAUGAACGGCCACAUUGGGACUGAGACACGGCCCAGACUCCUACGGGAGGCAGCAGUGGGGAAUCUUCCGCAAUGGACGAAAGUCUGACGGAGCAACGCCGCGUGAGUGAGGACGGCCUUCGGGUUGUAAAGCUCUGUUAAUCGGGACGAAAGGCCUUCUUGCGAAUAGUGAGAAGGAUUGACGGUACCGGAAUAGAAAGCCACGGCUAACUACGUG
rnacentral:rRNA from 1 species